AGCUUUGCGCAGUGGCAGUAUCGUAGCCAAUGAGGUUUAUCCGAGGCGCGAUUAUUGCUAAUAAAUAAUACUUAAUUCUUUUAGUUGUUUUAUUGACAAUUUAUCAUUUGAUAGCUGACUGAAAUCUAUUUAGAUUUCACAAGUGG